rnacentral:lncRNA from 10 species
AGAGUGGCUCACAAUAACUUCUUGGUGAGUCCUAGAAAAUUACUUGGUUCACUGCUGACAACAAAGAGAUACAAACUUCUCAGGAAUUUUUAAGAAUAGAAACAGUGUUCCAGAGAGCUCUCCAAACUUUCUGCUCCUCAGAGUGCUUCAAGUUGGAAAAAAUUUUCAACUGCAGAAAUGUGCCCAGUCUAUUGGUGAAGAGCAAGCAUAGGAGAGUCAAAUUAUUCAACAUAGAAUAAAGUAAGCAUCAGCUACCUACCCUCUAACAGAUGAACCUACUUGAGAGAGGAGAGAACAUCAAAGGCUGCAAUAUGCUGAGCUUUCUAAGAAAACUGCUUUGAAGGGAACAGCUUUUCCUUGGAUGGGUAAGUCCCAACAUAUUUAUAAAAAUC